GAGAGGCGGUGGAAUGACACGAUCACUCCCGCUGAGCGGGCCCGCACACGCCGUCUGGGAAUGUCGUGGUCCGCCCGGCGCUCUUUC
rnacentral:pre_miRNA from 1 species